UAAAGGUCGGUUCAGCUGAUGGUUUUCCCUUUGAGCAAGAAAUUUCCCUCUCUGCCUCUGCUAAGACUUGAGCUAAAAAAGAUGAGACAUCCUCCGGGUUUCAAAAGGUGCAUGGGCAGGAAGCUUCAAACACAUGAAGCUACAUUUGAGAUUUCCGAUGAGAAUUCUGUGACUGAGACUGCGCCUGCACCAGUUAACAGGAAAAGGCCACGUGGUGGAAACGCUGAACGAUGGUUGGAGGAGGACGAGCUGGUCCUCAUUGACAUUUUACAUGAGAAUAUGAAGAAACAUGAGUUCAACUCUUUUAUCAUUAUACUGCAAAAUGUUGGAGUGACAUUAUUGACGAGUUUUGGGCUAGAACGGGAAAGCGCAAAAGGUAUUAUGAUGAGCAAUGCAUCAAACAGAAAUAUCAUAGGCUUAAAAAAAAUUGGAAGGAUUUCAAGGAAGUACUUGCAAGAUGCUCGGAAUAUGGAUGGGACCAAGAAACUAACAAAGUAGUUGUUCCUAAUGAUGUUUGGGCGAAUCAUGUGGAGAGAUUCAGUGAUCACAAGAAGUUCAGAUAUCAUGGCCUAAAAAUUUUUGAUAAAUUGAAUGAAAUGUCCAAAAAUAUUUGUGUCCUUGGCAGUCCAUCCAGUUGGUCCAGGAAGUCCCAAGUUUCUGAGACCGCAAAGAUCAUUGACUGCAUCACUGGAGUCGCAGUCACUGUCCGACGAUUCAGAUAGCGAUGAUGAGGAUUUCAUUCUCUAUGCAGCAGCACUAUCUGCGGACCUGUAAGACAACAAAGAACCAGUUAAGGAAUGAGGGAACAACAGUGGGAACAUAUAAGAUCAGUUCCCAUGUCGUCGCGCAAGUCAACUAUACUGUUGUUAAAGUGCUGCAUUGUACUUGCAAUAGUACAUCAGAACAGCUGCAAUUUGCUAAACCAGAAAUGCCCUUGUAACUACCCUCAUGAUCUCACAUAUAUAAACAACAUGUUACAAGGUGUUGACCUAACACUUGCAUUUACAAAAACACAUAAUCUCUCAAGUGUGCAGCCGCCUCUGAGGGAUCAGGUGCAUUGAAGAACAAAGCAGCUACAAAACAAAGGACCAGAUCCCAACAUUGAAUAUGUCGUGUGUCAUUUAAGUAUUGCUGUGUCUUUUUCUUAUGUUAUUUAUUUGUAACUCCUACACAGCUUUUUAGAAGCAUUUAGUAGGACAUUAUUUAACCAUCAUUGCUUUUGGUUAUUGACUAGAGUUAAUCAAGAGAGCAUCUUUGUAAUAGAGUUAUUUACAAAGAGCUUACAAUAGAGUUAUUGUAAAAGGUGAGAGAUUAAGAGUUUAAUACCUAGAUUGCAAUAGGUUGCUGAGAGUUUUCCACGUAAAUAUUGCGUUCUUAAUUUACUGCUGUGUACUGUGGGAACUGAUAGAGAACUUGGUUCUCUAUACAGUUUGGUGGACCCUUAGUUUUUAUCAAUCCACUGCUAUAC